rnacentral:rRNA from 1 species
UACGUAGGGGGCUAGCGUUGUCCGGAAUCAUUGGGCGUAAAGCGCGCGUAGGCGGCCCGGUAAGUCCGCUGUGAAAGUCAAAGGCUCAACCUUUGAAUGUCAGCGGAUACUGCCGGGCUAGAGUCCGGAAAAGGCGAGUGGAACUCCUGGUGUAGCGGUGGAAUGCGCAGAUAUCAGGAAGAACACCAACGGCGAAGGCAGCUCGCUGGGACGGAACUGACGCUAAGGCGCGAAAGCGUGGGGAGCGAACAGG